rnacentral:rRNA from 1 species
UACGGAGGGCGCAAGCGUUGUCCGGAAUUAUUGGGCGUAAAGAGCUCGUAGGCGGUUUGUCGCGUCGGCUGUGAAAACCCGGGGCUCAACCCCGGGCCUGCAGUCGAUACGGGCAGACUAGAGUGCGGUAGGGGAGACUGGAAUUCCUGGUGUAGCGGUGAAAUGCGCAGAUAUCAGGAGGAACACCGGUGGCGAAGGCGGGUCUCUGGGCCGUAACUGACGCUGAGGAGCGAAAGCGUGGGGAGCGAACAGG